AAGGCUCAUGAACAAAAAAA
rnacentral:sRNA from 1 species